UAGAGUGUGGUGUAAUAUGGGAGCACGGAGAUUUUUGAUUUCUCAGGUGAAGGUUCAAGUCCUACGACUCUAG
rnacentral:tRNA from 1 species